GACAAGUGUUGGUCCAGUUUAUGGUUUUUGAGUGUAAUUUAUCUCACUAACAUUGGUUUAUCCUUAUCAGAGGUGAACUGUUUUAAAUAUAUCGUUGAAUGCUGUAAUCAAUUAAAUAGUUCCAUUGUUAUGCAGCUACCAGAGACCGCAUUAUUGGAAAGACAGCAUAUGGAUUUGGCAUCCGCGUAGAGAAUCUUAGAGAAGCCAGUCUGUCUCAUUCUCUUUUGGUCACUAUCUCUCGUUAUUUUGUCCCUUGCUUUCAGUAUCACACAGCUAUUAGGAAAAUGGGAUCAGAUCGGAGAUGGAUGUAUGCUAGGUUAAAAGAUGGUCUAUUGACCUCAGAAUUCAUAGAAGGUAUUGAACAAUUCAUAACAUUUGCUAAGCAACAUCCAGAGUGGAUGGAUGGGGAUAAACUGAAGUGUCCAUGUAAUCAUCGAAAGUGUCAGA